AGAGAGAGACAUGCGCGCAUAUCAAUAAGCGGAGGAAAAGAAACUAACAAGGAUUCCCUUAGUAACGGCGAGUGAAGCGGGAAGAGCUCAAAUUUGAAAUCUUCAAGGUUUUACCUUGACGAAUUGUAGUUUAAAGAAGUGUUUUCUGCUGAAGUUUUGGUAAAAGUUCUUUGGAAUAGGACAUCCAUAGAGGGUGAGAAUCCCGUAUUUGACCAUUAGUUUCAGCUUUGUGAUACACUUUCAAAGAGUCGGAUUGUUUGGGAAUGCAGUCCAAAAUGGGUGGUAAAUUUCAUCUAAAGCUAAAUAUUGGCGAGAGACCGAUAGCGAACAAGUACCGUGAGGGAAAGAUGAAAAGAACUUUGAAAAGAGAGUUAAACAGUACGUGAAAUUGUCAAAAGGGAAGCGUUUGACACCAGUGUUGUUUUCUCGAAAAUCAAUUAAAAAUGGCUCGAUUUUGUAUUGCUUGAGACCUUAAAAGCUCACUGUACAUUUUUCGUGUCUUUUUUAAUGCACUUUUCGUUUAACAAGUCAACAUCAGUUUCUUUUGUUGUAAAAGGGUCAUUGGAAGGUGGCUUUCUUUUCGGAGAAAGUGUUUAUAGCCUUUGGCCUCUGCAAUCGGAAGAGACUGAGGUCUGCAGCGUAGACUCUUCGGGGUUAGAUACAUUUGUGCUAAGUUAUAGCUUUUUAUAGACAACUUGUUGACUAUAAUUAGUCUUGUAGCUUACUCGCUUAUGCUAUUUUACCUACGCUUAGGAUGUUGAAGAUGUAGCACAUCAU
rnacentral:rRNA from 1 species